GCGUGUUUGUGCUGGUUGCACUUUUCAUUUCCCUUGGUUGUCGACGUCCUCAACGUGUGUUAAUUAAUUACUGCGACGAUCUGUAUCAAAGACACAUUUAUCUGGUGUACCGAUACCAAAUCUAAAGGAUGGUAUGAUUAAUCAUUAACGCCUGCAGCUAUGUGGCUGAGAAGAUUCGGCGAGCAUGCGGGCGUUCCAGUAAUCAAACUGAGCAGAUGAAGGGAAUCAAGGAGAGGAAGUGUGUACUCAGCAAUGAGUAUGACACCAAACCCUAUCCUGAGGAUCCUGUAGUCACUCGCCAACAUCAGUCGGCUGCGUACAGAAGCUGUGCAAGGCCCGGUGGUGGAUGAGGAUAGCUUCCCAGCAUGCUCAGCUCACUGGACAUGUUGGAAGUUCAAAGCUUCCCAGCAUGCCUCAGCUGGGUGUGUUGGAAGUUCAAAAGUGUCAAAGACUAGUUAUUAGAUGUUUUCUUUUUGUGUCUGUAUAUUUAUACCUUUGAUAGUGUUUUAUCUUGUUUUUUGUAAGGAAAUAUGGUUGGGUUUGGGUUGUUUUUCUAACAUUUUAUUAACUUUUCCAGACUUUCAUAUUCAUUACCCGGUAAUUCAUAAAAGGCCAAGAAACGAUAGUUUUCAUCCUUACCUACUUCCUUUGUGUAGCCAUUACAUGGGUGUGUGGGAAUCAAGUAUUUGUACUUUUUAAAAAUUUAUAAUUUUUUAUAUAUUUGUUUUUUCUUUUGGGGUGGGUGGAUUAGGAUAAUCUUUAAUCAAAAGGUACAAGUACUGAAUCAAAACCUUCACCUCAGUAGUUAUCUCUUGUAGCUACACAUUGUAUUUUGAUAUUAGUAUUAUUUAUUAAUGUUAAUUUAAGUAUAAUGAAUUUCAAGCAAGUUAAUAACUUAGCAUUUAAAUUAAAUGCAGAGUUCAUACAGACACUGGAAAUUGGUUGUAAUAAUAAUAAAAAACCCCACAUAUUUAAAUUAAUUUGCAUAAAGUUGUAACUGCAAAUUUUACACUAACUCUAAGUAAGGCCUUCCAACUUUUGUAGUUUAUGUCUAUUUCCCACAAAAUUUGAAAUCCUAUGGCCUGAUACAUCUUUCUGGGUAUAAAUUAGCUGUGAAAGACUGUUAAUAAUAAAUUUUAUUUGACUAUGUGACCAGAAAUACAUCAAUACAUCUACACCUCAUUUAGUAGAUUUGUAAUUUUAGUGUACCAUACUGUUAGAAUUUUACAGAAAGAAGAAAAACAAACAGUAUUGUGAUUAGCCCAGUGCUUCGUGUCAUUGUACAUCCUAUUUUUAUGGAUUUUUUACUUAAUUGUUUUUUUUGGACAUUUUUAUAUUUGUCAAGACUGAAAUCCUUUGUACAUGGUGAUAUGGUAAUCCCCAGUCAGACCUGUUUGAAAAGGCCACCUAAACAGUGUCAGAUCCAGAGGGGGUAUUCUGGAGGGGUGCACUCUCCCUUUUGUAUACUACAAGUACCAUAAUAAACUGAAGAUAUUAAAAAAAUAUAUAUAUUAUCAAUUUAUCCCGAAAUAAGAACAAGAUGAUUGUAAAUAAGAAAAAAACAUGUUAUUUCUUUUGGUUGGUGAUUCUUGACUGACAAGAUAUAUUAGAUACAUGUCAGUACUAAAAUGGGGUGAAAAAAUGGAUUACAAAAAUCGGUCAAAAACAAUAUCAACUUUUAUUGCAAGAGGUGCAUAACAUCAGAAAAAAGUUCUAAAACAUUGACAUCUGAUUGCAGCAAGAGCCCUUUUUUUUUUUGGCCAAGUUGCACCCCCUCUGGAGUAAACUCCUGGAUCUGUCACUGACUGUAUCCAAGAGAUAAAAAAAAAACACUGAUUUUUAGAAGUUAAAAAUGCAUGAACUUUGUGUAUAGUAUGACAUAUUUGAAGGGCCUUUUAUGAAUAGGUUCUUGUACAAAGAGUUGGGUCAUACCUAAUGUUAAUAAUGGGUGGGGAGGGGUAGCAAUAAACGAACAAAGCAGUUGGGGUAGAGAGUAAACAGUAUUCUCUAUCCAGAUAAAAAUGGCACUGUUAAAAAAAAAAAAAAAAAAAAGGGAGGGGGAUUUGGGGAAAGUUUUCCCCAAUUGCCCCCUGGUCUCUCAUUAGGUAUGACCCACCAGUGCCUGUUAAAGCAGGUUAAACUGUGGACAGUAUUUCAAGACACCUGCAAGCUUAGCUAUUGGUGACUAAUGACGUUUGCUCCCAAACCUUGUCCGCUGAUAAGAGGGCCGUUACCGAGUGUUUCACCAUAGCUAAUCUUACAGGUAAUAUUCAAACACUUGUGUACUUGGGUUAUGUCAUGUUAGUUGUUUUGGAAUAAAAGAUAUUU